rnacentral:rRNA from 1 species
ACGCUGGCGGCAUGCUUUACACAUGCAAGUCGGACGGCAGCACAGAGAAGCUUGCUUCUUGGGUGGCGAGUGGCGAACGGGUGAGUAACAUAUCGGAACGUACCGAGUAAUGGGGGAUAACUAAUCGAAAGAUUAGCUAAUACCGCAUAUUCUCUGAGGAGGAAAGCAGGGGACCUUCGGGCCUUGCGUUAUUCGAGCGGCCGAUAUCUGAUUAGCUAGUUGGUGGGGUAAAGGCCUACCAAGGCGACGAUCAGUAGCGGGUCUGAGAGGAUGAUCCGCCACACUGGGACUGAGACACGGCCCAGACUCCUACGGGAGGCAGCAGUGGGGAAUUUUGGACAAUGGGCGCAAGCCUGAUCCAGCCAUGCCGCGUGUCUGAAGAAGGCCUUCGGGUUGUAAAGGACUUUUGUCAGGGAAGAGAAGGCUGUCGCUAAUACCGACAGUUGAUGACGGUACUUGAAGAAUAAGCACCGGCUAACUACGUGCCAGCAGCCGCGGUAAUACGUAGGGUGCGAGCGUUAAUCGGAAUUACUGGGCGUAAAGCGAGCGCAGACGGUUACUUAAGCAGGAUGUGAAAUCCCCGGGCUUAACCUGGGAACUGCGUUCUGAACUGGGUGACUAGAGUGUGUCAGAGGGAGGUAGAAUUCCACGUGUAGCAGUGAAAUGCGUAGAGAUGUGGAGGAAUACCGAUGGCGAAGGCAGCCUCCUGGGAUGACACUGACGUUCAUGCUCGAAAGCGUGGGUAGCAAACAGGAUUAGAUACCCUGGUAGUCCACGCCCUAAACGAUGUCAAUUAGCUGUUGGGCAACUUGAUUGCUUAGUAGCGUAGCUAACGCGUGAAAUUGACCGCCUGGGGAGUACGGUCGCAAGAUUAAAACUCAAAGGAAUUGACGGGGACCCGCACAAGCGG